rnacentral:rRNA from 1 species
CCCUACGGGACGCAGCAGUGAGGAAUAUUGCGCAAUGGGGGAAACCCUGACGCAGCGACGCCGUGUGAGCGAUGAAGGCCUUCGGGUUGUAAAGCUCUGUCAGAGGGGAAGAAAGGGGAUAUGGUUAAUACCCAUGUCCAUUGACGGUACCCUUUGAGGAAGCACCGGCUAACUCCGUGCCAGCAGCCGCGGUAAUACGGAGGGUGCGAGUGUUAUUCGGAAUCACUGGGCGUAAAGAGCACGUAGGCGGAUAGGUAAGUCAGAUGUGAAAUCCCGGGGCUCAACUUCGGAACUGCAUUUGAUACUGCCUGUCUUGAGUGUGGUAGAGGGGGGUGGAAUUCCCGGUGUAGAGGUGAAAUUCGUAGAUAUCGGGAGGAACACCAGAGGCGAAGGCGACCCCCUGGGCCACUACUGACGCUGAGGUGCGAAAGCGUGGGGAGCAAACAGGAUUAGAUACCCGGGUAGUCCU